rnacentral:rRNA from 1 species
ACCCUGUUGAGCUUGACUCUAGUCUGACUUUGUGAAACAAGUCAAGAGGUGUAGCAUAAGUGGGAGCUUAGGCGCCUUUGAAAUACCACUACUCUGGAUCUUGUUUUACUUACUCCGUUACGCCGAAAUGGAUGUAAAACUCCUUAUUUUUUUGUUGAAUUAAAAUGAUAUUAUCAUUGAUCGGUACGGAGGACAGUGUCAGGUGGGGAGUUUGGCUGGG